AACGAACGCUGGCGGCAGGCUUAACACAUGCAAGUCGAACGCGUGUAGCAAUACACGAGUGGCGCACGGGUGAGUAACGCGUGGAUAUCUGCCUUUUGGUUCGGAAUAACCCCGGGAAACUGGGGCUAAUACCGGAUGGUUCCUUCGGGAUAAAGAUUUAUCGCCAAAAGAUGAGUCCGCGUACGAUUAGCUAGUUGGUGAGGUAAUGGCUCACCAAGGCGACGAUCGUUAGCUGGUCUGAGAGGACGAUCAGCCACACUGGGACUGAGACACGGCCCAGACUCCUACGGGAGGCAGCAGUGGGGAAUAUUGGACAAUGGGGGCAACCCUGAUCCAGCCAUGCCGCGUGAGUGAUGAAGGCCUUCGGGUUGUAAAGCUCUUUUGGCGGGGACGAUGAUGACGGUACCCGCAGAAUAAGCC
rnacentral:rRNA from 1 species